AAGAAAAUGGUGCAAACCAUCCUUGCCUGUGGCUAUGGCUCCUAACUACCAGUUUUAUUCCCUGGAUUGGACAAUAUCUGAGUUUCCUUUUCCCCUUCUUCAGCCUUCUAGAAGGCCCAUUCAUCAGUCAAUAUCAGGAAAAGGAGACAAGGAGUGUUUACAGAGGAUGACUGCCUGCUUCUUUCUCAAGACAACUUAUCCCUGCAUCAUCUGCCAGUGUCACCUAAAACCUGCAACUUAAACAAUGAC